ensembl:ncRNA T14B4.12 ncRNA
UGAAUGAAAAGACAAGAAGCUGCAAGAAAGACAGUGAUAAGUGAUACGUAAAACACGUCGAAUUGAGGUUAUUAAAUCUCGACAUUAAACAUAUUUUAAUGGCCGUCGCGGACUGAUAGUAACUGCCGGAGAGUCAACAUGCACUCCGGUCAACGAUUGAAAGUCACGUUG